UACAUAGGUCCCAAGCGUUGUUCGGAUUCACUGGGCGUAAAGGGUGCGUAGGUGGUGAGGUAAGUCGGAUGUGAAAUCUCCAAGCUCAACUUGGAAACUGCAUUGGAAACUACCUUGCUAGAGGAUUUGAGGGGGGAUUGGAAUUCCUGGUGUAGCGGUGAAAUGCGCAGAUAUCAGGAGGAACACCGAUGGCGAAGGCAGGUCUCUGGGCAUUAACUGACGCUGAGGAGCGAAAGCAUGGGGAGCGAACAGG
rnacentral:rRNA from 1 species